rnacentral:rRNA from 1 species
GGUUAAGCGACCAAGCGUACACGGUGGAUGCCCUGGCAGUCAGAGGCGAUGAAGGACGUGCUAAUCUGCGAAAAGCGCCGGUAAGGUGAUAUGAACCGUUAUAACCGGCGAUGUCCGAAUGGGGAAACCCAGUGUGACUCGUCACACUAUCAUUAACUGAAUCCAUAGGUUAAUGAGGCGAACCGGGGGAACUGAAACAUCUAAGUACCCCGAGGAAAAGAAAUCAACCGAGAUUCCCCCAGUAGCGGCGAGCGAACGGGGAGGAGCCCAGAGCCUGAAUCAGCAUGUGUGUUAGUGGAAGCGUCUGGAAAGGCGCGCGAUACAGGGUGACAGCCCCGUACACAAAAGCGCAUGUGCUGUGAGCUCGAUGAGUAGGGCGGGACACGUGGUAUCCUGUCUGAAUAUGGGGGGACCAUCCUCCAAGGCUAAAUACUCCUGACUGACCGAUAGUGAACCAGUACCGUGAGGGAAAGGCGAAAAGAACCCCGGCGAGGGGAGUGAAACAGAACCUGAAACCGUGUACGUACAAGCAGUGGGAGCAUGAGUUUACUCAUGUGACUGCGUACCUUUUGUAUAAUGGGUCAGCGACUUAUAUUCUGUAGCAAGGUUAACCGUAUAGGGGAGCCGGAGGGAAACCGAGUCUUAACCGGGCGUUAAGUUGCAGGGUAUAGACCCGAAACCCGGUGAUCUAGCCAUGGGCAGGUUGAAGGUUGGGUAACACUAACUGGAGGACCGAACCGACUAAUGUUGAAAAAUUAGCGGAUGACCUGUGGCUGGGGGUGAAAGGCCAAUCAAACCGGGAGAUAGCUGGUUCUCCCCGAAAGCUAUUUAGGUAGCGCCUCGUGAAUUCAUCUCCGGGGGUAGAGCACUGUUUCGGCCAGGGGGCCAUCCCGGCUUACCAACCCGAUGCAAACUGCGAAUACCGGAGAAUGUUAUCACGGGAGACACACGGCGGGUGCUAACGUCCGUCGUGAAGAGGGAAACAACCCAGACCGCCAGCUAAGGUCCCAAAGUCAUGGUUAAGUGGGAAACGAUGUGGGAAGGCCCAGACAGCCAGGAUGUUGGCUUAGAAGCAGCCAUCAUUUAAAGAAAGCGUAAUAGCUCACUGGUCGAGUCGGCCUGCGCGGAAGAUGUAACGGGGCUAAACCAUGCACCGAAGCUGCGGCAGCGACACUGUGUGUUGUUGGGUAGGGGAGCGUUCUGUAAGCCUGCGAAGGUGGCCUGUGAGGGUUGCUGGAGGUAUCAGAAGUGCGAAUGCUGACAUAAGUAACGAUAAUGCGGGUGAAAAACCCGCACGCCGGAAGACCAAGGGUUCCUGUCCAACGUUAAUCGGGGCAGGGUGAGUCGACUCCUAAGGCGAGGCCGAAAGGCGUAGUCGAUGGGAAACGGGUUAAUAUUCCCGUACCUGGUGUUACUGCGAAGGGGGGACGGAGAAGGCUAUGUUGGCCGGGCGACGGUUGUCCCGGUUUAAGCGUGUAGGCUGGUUUUCCAGGCAAAUCCGGAAAAUCAAGGCUGAGGCGUGACGACGAGGCACUACGGUGCUGAAGCAACAAAUGCCCUGCUUCCAGGAAAAGCCUCUAAGCCUCAGGUAACAUCAGAUCGUACCCGAAACCGACACAGGUGGUCAGGUAGAGAAUACCAAGGCGCUUGAGAGAACCCGGGUGAAGGAACUAGGCAAAAUGGUGCCGUAACUUCGGGAGAAGGCACGCUGACACGUAGGUGAAGCGGUUUACCCGUGGAGCUGAAGUCAGUCGAAGAUACCAGCUGGCUGCAACUGUUUAUUAAAAACACAGCACUGUGCAAACACGAAAGUGGACGUAUACGGUGUGACGCCUGCCCGGUGCCGGAAGGUUAAUUGAUGGGGUCAGCGCAAGCGAAGCUCCUGAUCGAAGCCCCGGUAAACGGCGGCCGUAACUAUAACGGUCCUAAGGUAGCGAAAUUCCUUGUCGGGUAAGUUCCGACCUGCACGAAUGGCGUAAUGAUGGCCAGGCUGUCUCCACCCGGGACUCAGUGAAAUUGAACUCGCUGUGAAGAUGCAGUGUACCCGCGGCAAGACGGAAAGACCCCGUGAACCUUUACUAUAGCUUGACACUGAACACUGGUCCUUGAUGUGCAGGAUAGGUGGGAGGCUUUGAAGUGUGGACGCCAGUCUGCAUGGAGCCGUCCUUGAAAUACCACCCUUUAAUGGCUGGUGUUCUAACGUAGACCCGUGAACCGGGUUGCGGACAGUGUCUGGUGGGUAGUUUGACUGGGGCGGUCUCCUCCUAAAGCGUAACGGAGGAGCACGAAGGUUGGCUAAUCCUGGUCGGACAUCAGGAGGUUAGUGCAAUGGCAUAAGCCAGCUUGACUGCGAGCGUGACGGCGCGAGCAGGUGCGAAAGCAGGUCAUAGUGAUCCGGUGGUUCUGAAUGGAAGGGCCAUCGCUCAACGGAUAAAAGGUACUCCGGGGAUAACAGGCUGAUACCGCCCAAGAGUUCAUAUCGACGGCGGUGUUUGGCACCUCGAUGUCGGCUCAUCACAUCCUGGGGCUGAAGUAGGUCCCAAGGGUAUGGCUGUUCGCCAUUUAAAGUGGUACGCGAGCUGGGUUUAGAACGUCGUGAGACAGUUCGGUCCCUAUCUGCCGUGGGCGCUGGAGAACUGAGGGGGGCUGCUCCUAGUACGAGAGGACCGGAGUGGACGCAUCACUGGUGUUCGGGUUGUCAUGCCAAUGGCACUGCCCGGUAGCUAAAUGCGGAAGAGAUAAGUGCUGAAAGCAUCUAAGCACGAAACUUGCCCCGAGAUGAGUUCUCCCUGAGACUACAAGUCUCCUGAAGGAACGUUGAAGACGACGACGUUGAUAGGCCGGGUGUGUAAGCGCAGCGAUGCGUUGAGCUAACCGGUACUAAUGAACCGUGAGGCUUAACCUU